ensembl:Y_RNA Y_RNA Y RNA
GGCUACUCUGAGUAUCGUGGUGUUUACAGUUAAUCAUAGAUAGUUGCAGACUUCUUCAUUACUUCUCUACCCCACUGCUUCACUUGACUAGCCUAAA